rnacentral:rRNA from 1 species
UACGUAGGGUGCAAGCGUUGUCCGGAAUUAUUGGGCGUAAAGAGCUCGUAGGCGGUCUGUCGCGUCGGCUGUGAAAACUCGGGGCUCAACCCCGAGCCUGCAGUCGAUACGGGCAGACUAGAGUGCUGUAGGGGAGACUGGAAUUCCUGGUGUAGCGGUGAAAUGCGCAGAUAUCAGGAGGAACACCGGUGGCGAAGGCGGGUCUCUGGGCAGUAACUGACGCUGAGACGCGAAAGCGUGGGGAGCAAACAGG